AUGACGAACGUUCUUUUACUCUCUCUCUCUCUCUCUCUCUCUCUCUCUCUCUCUCUCUCUCUCUCUCUCUCUCUCUCUCUCUCGUGCUGCACGAACAUUCACAUGCAUUCACGUAUAAAGACAUGGAUCGAACGUGUAGGUAGAUGGAGACGCGACAGGUGGUCGAGAGUUCUCACUGCUCAUGCAUGCACAAAAGCGAGACACCGCACAUGCAUGGAUAGACGGGUGCCAAGCUUCACUCACGCUUCUCACCGUGUACCAGUGUAUGCAUGUACCCUGGCGAGCUACUUUUACUACUACUCGUUGUUACGACCACCACGUGCACGUGUGUGGAGCACGAAGGUUGAUGGAAUGGAAGAUGGAUGGGGGAGGGGGGCGCACCGCGACUAG
rnacentral:rRNA from 1 species